rnacentral:rRNA from 1 species
GCUAGUGCCGAGCAGCAAGCCGGGGAAGAGCGGAGGGGGUGAGGCUGGUGCGGAAGCACUGGGAGUAAGUGGCACGUAUGCGGUUUGCUAAGUAAAGGGGGAAAGCCUGGGGGGCAAGUCCAGAACUGCCCUUGAUACUGGCAAACUCGAGGCGGUGAGAGGGGAAGGGAACUGAGAGUGUAGGGGUGAAAUUCGUAGAUAUUCGCAAGAACACCAGUGGCGAAGGGGGCUCACUGGCGCGGUACUGACGCUGAGGUGCGAAAGCGUGGGGAGCAAACAGGAUUAGAUACCCGUGUAGUC